rnacentral:tRNA from 2 species
GGCCCGUUCGUCUAGAGGUUAGGACGCCGGCCUCUCACGCCGGAAGCAGGGGUUCGAUUCCCCUACGGGCCGCCA